rnacentral:rRNA from 1 species
GGUCUGAGAGGACGACCAGCCACACUGGAACUGAGACGCGGUCCAGGCUCCUACGGGAGGCAGCAGUGGGGAAUUUUGGAAAAUGGGCGCAAGCCUGAUCCAGCUAUGCCGCGUGAGUGAAGAAGGCCUUCGGGUUGUAAAGCUCUUUUGUCAGGGAAGAAACGGUUCGGGCUAAUAUCCUGGGCUAAUGACGGUACCUGAAGAAUAAGCACCGGCUAACUACGUGCCAGCAGCCGCGGUAAUACGUAGGGUGCAAGCGUUAAUCGGAAUUACUGGGCGUAAAGCGUGCGCAGGCGGUUGUGCAAGACAGAUGUGAAAUCCCCGGGCUCAACCUGGGAAUUGCAUUUGUGACUGCACGGCUAGAGUGUGUCAGAGGGGGGUAGAAUUCCACGUGUAGCAGUGAAAUGCGUAGGGAUGUGGAGGAAUACCGAUGGCUAAGGCAGCCCCCUGGGAUAACACUGACGCUCAUGCACGAAAGCGUGGGGAGCAAACAGGAUUAGAUACCCUGGUAGUCCACGCCCUAAACGAUGUCUACUAGUUGUCGGGUCUUAAUUGACUUGGUAACGCAGCUAACGCGUGAAGUAGACCGCCUGGGGAGUACGGUCGCAAGAUUAAAACUCAAAGGAAUUGACGGGGACCCGCACAAGCGGUGGAUGAUGUGGAUUAAUUCGAUGCAACGCGAAAAACCUUACCUACCCUUGACAUGUCUGGAAUCCUUGAGAGAUCAGGGAGUGCUCGAAAGAGAAUCAGAACACAGGUGCUGCAUGGCUGUCAUCAGCUCGUGUCGUGAGAUGUUGGGUUAAGUCCCGCAACGAGCGCAACCCUUGUCAUUAGUUGCUACGAAAGGGCACUCUAAUGAGACUGCCGGUGACAAACCGGAGGAAGGUGGGGAUGACGUCAAGUCCUCAUGGCCCUUAUGGGUAGGGCUUCACACGUCAUACAAUGGUACAUACAGAGGGCCGCCAACCCGCGAGGGGGAGCUAAUCCCAGAAAGUGUAUCGUAGUCCGGAUUGUAGUCUGCAACUCGACUACAUGAAGUUGGAAUCGCUAGUAGUCGCGGAUCAGCAUGUCGCGGUGAAUACGUUCCCGGGUCUUGUACACACCGCCCGUCACACCAUGGGAGCGGGUUUCACCAGAAGUGGGUAGCCUAACCGCAAGGAGGGCGCUCACCACGGUGGGAUUCGUGACUGGGGUGAAGUCGUAACAAGGUA